AUGAAAUAACGUGAAGUUUUUAACAAUAUUUAUUAAAAAUCACUUACGUAUGGAUGAAAAUAAUUUUUUCAUGUUUAAUUUUAAAAUAUCGAUUUUCUUUCUACAACAACUUAAUCCUCCGUAAUCUAUGAUUGCUCUAGAAAUUUUUUAAUAUGACGAAAAAUAAUACUAUAAAAAAUACAGUUACAAACAAAAAAACUAAAUUUUCAAGGUGGCUGGCCAUUCACUUCAAAUAACAUAGUAAUUUCAAUUCAAAAAAUUUGAAAGUUUAAAACCCUCUUCUACUUCUAGUAAAACUAAAAUUUUCAACGAGAUACACGUUCGGAAGAAUCAGUUUAUCCUCUUACAAGGGAAUCUGGUCAAAAAAUCCUGUAACAUCAGAUUGGAAAAUAACAGAUUGGCUUACUAUUCGGGAUACAGCAUGAUCGAUGACUGGUCAGCUAUAGUCUAUCAUUGGCUGAAAGAUAUAGAACUUAAAGCCAAAACAAGUGGAAACAAUUUUUACGGUGAAUAUUAAUUUCAUAAUAUCAAAAAUAAUUA